GAUGUAUUUCUAUUGGGAGAUACGGGAGACAGUGAUGAAGGCCCAGAUGAUGGAGAUGAUGGCUUUGAUGAUGAUUUUGACAAGAUAUAGAUUGGAGUACGUAAAAGAAUGACUCUGGAAGGGCAAAAAAGUUUUACAAAGAGAUCAGAGUUAAAUCACAGAGUUGUCUUGAAGAAAGGGAUAUCUGCAUGAAGUUGGUAUUCAAGUUGCAUCAAAGUGGCCAGUAGUUGUGAACUAUAUCUUCUCCCCUGUUUAUAAAUUCUGUGUUUUCAAUUGCUCAUUGUUUCAAAUGUAUGUUGCUUUUUCUUUUGCCGCCUGCCUUGGGAAGGGGGAGAGAGAGGAGAAUGCGCGGAGAGCUGGUGGAGCUGGGGUCGGGGAGAUUGUGGAGCUGGACGGUUGGUGUAACUGGCUUGCAUUUGGUGCUGUAAAUUUUGGUUAAUUUUUAUAUCUGCCACCUUUCACAUUGUUGUAUUUAUUUCUCCUUAUUAACUCCAAUUAUUACAGACAUUUUCUGUUAAGGGUGGAUUAUUGCUUCUAUAGUA